AAACGGUUAAUCUAAACAAGAUGUUUGAUUUCGGCUCAAAGAAUAGUGGUUAGACCCCACUACCGUUAU
rnacentral:tRNA from 1 species